rnacentral:misc_RNA from 1 species
GAAAUGCGAUAAGUAAUGUGAAUUGCAGAAUUCAGUGAAUCAUCGAAUCUUUGAACGCACAUUGCGCCCGCUGGUAUUCCAGCGGGCAUGCCCGUUCGAGCGUCAUUUUAAUCCCUUCCCGUGGAGACUCUUCUAUUCUGUAGUGGAGUGUCCAUGGGGCGUUGGCAUUGGACGCCUUAUUUUUAGGCGACCGGAGCCGAAAUGAAGUGGCGGACUCGCAGCGGCCCCUAGCGCAGUAGAACAAGCCUUCUCGCUUAGGAGAGCCGCAGCGGUGGACUACAGCCCUACAUGCUUUUUUGAAAAAAAAAGGCUACAUCUAAAAACUUGACCUCGGAUCGGGUAGGACUACCCGCUGAACUUAA